GAUACACAGCAAGCGGCUUAGCGAAAGCAUUAAGUGAACCACCUGGGGAGUACGAUCGCAAGGUUGAAACUCAAAGGAAUUGACGGGGGCCCGCACAAGCGGAGGAACAUGUGGUUUAAUUCGAUGAUACGCGAGGAACCUUACCUGGGCUUAAAUGUAGAGUGCAUGCGGUGGAAACACCCUUUCCGGCAACGGACUCUCUGCAAGGUGCUGCAUGGUUGUCGUCAGCUCGUGCCGUGAGGUGUCGGGUUAAGUCCCAUAACGAGCGCAACCCUUACCGUUAGUUGCCAACAGGUUAAGCUGGGGACUCUAGCGGGACUGCCACCGUAAGGUGAGAGGAAGGUGGGGAUGACGUCAAAUCAGCACGGCCCUUAUGUCCAGGGCUACACACGUGUUACAAUGGCCGGUACAGAGGGCAGCUACUUCGCGAGAAGAUGCUAAUCYUCAAAGCCGGUCUCAGUUCGGAUUGGAGUCUGCAACCCGACUCCAUGAAGUUGGAUUCGCUAGUAAUCGUAUAUCAGCAAUGAUACGGUGAAUACGUUCCCGGGCCUUGUACACACCGCCCGUCAAACCAUGGGAGCUGGGGGUGCCUGAAGUCUGUGACCGCAAGGAGYGGCCUAGGGUAAAACCAGUGACUGGGGUUAAGUCGUAACAAGGUAACCAAGGGCGAA
rnacentral:rRNA from 1 species